rnacentral:rRNA from 1 species
AACGAACGCUGGCGGCAUGCCUAACACAUGCAAGUCGAACGAGACCUUCGGGACUAGUGGCGCACGGGUGCGUAACGCGGGGGAAUCUGCCCCUUGGUUCGGAAUAACAGUUAGAAAUGACUGCUAAUACCGGAUGAUGACUUCGGUCCAAAGAUUUAUCGCCAAGGGAUGAGCCCGCGUAGGAUUAGGGAGUUGGUGUGGUAAAGGCUCACCAAGCCGACGAUCCUUAGCUGGUCUGAGAGGAUGAUCAGCCACACUGGGACUGAGACACGGCCCAGACUCCUACGGGAGGCAGCAGUGGGGAAUAUUGGACAAUGGGCGAAAGCCUGAUCCAGCAAGGCCGCGUGAGUGAUGAAGGCCUUAGGGUUGUAAAGCUCUUUUACCAGGGAUGAUAAUGACAGUACCUGGAGAAUAAGCUCCGGCUAACUCCGUGCCAGCCGCCGCAGUAA